AGGUUACUGGAUUUGGAAAAGGAAAAUGCUGAACUGGUGAAUCUCAGUAAGCUGGCAGCAGAUUUAGAAUUGGAGAAGUGUAGACUUGACCAACUUGUGCAGCAGCGUGAUGAGAAGGUGGCAAAUCUUCAGGAAGAGUUGUCCUGUGUUUCUGGUUUAAAGAGCUCAGUUCAAGAUCUUACUUCUCAACUGAAUGAGAAGAAUGACAGGUUAGUGGAUUUGGAAAAGCAAAUUGCUGAACUGGUGAAUCUCAGGCAGUUGGCAGCAGAUUUAGAAGUGGAGAAAUGUAGGCUUGACCAACUUGUGCAGCAGCGUGAUGAACAUGUGGCAAAGCUUCAUGAAGAUUUGUCAUGUUUUUCCGGAUUAGAGAGCUCAGUGCGAGAUCUUACUUCUCAAUUGAACGAGAAGAAUGACAGGUUACUGGAUUUGGAAAAGCAAAAUGCUGAGCUGGCUCAUUUCAGGCAGCUUGCAGCAGACUUAGAAGUGGAUAAAUGCAGACUUGACCAACUUUUGCAGCAGCGUAAUGAGCAUGUGUCAAAGCUUCAGGAAGAUUUGUCGUGUGUUUCUGGUUUAGAGGGCUCAGUGCGAGAUCUUACCUCUCAACUGAACGAGAAAAAUGACAGGUUACUGGAUUUGGGAAAGCAAAAUGCUGAGUUGGUGCAUUUCAGGCAGCUUGCAUCAGAGUUAAGACUGGAGAAAUCUAGACUUGACCAACUUUUGCAGCAGCAUAAUGAGCAUGUGUCAAAGCUUCAGGAAGAUUUGUCGUGCGUUUCUGGUUUAGAGGGCUCAGUGCGAGAUCUUACCUCUCAACUGAACGAGAAAAAUGACAGGUUACUGGAUUUGGGAAAGCAAAAUGCUGAGUUGGUGCAUUUCAGGCAGCUUGCAUCAGAGUUAAGACUGGAGAAAUCUAGACUUGACCAACUUUUGCAGCAGCAUAAUGAGCAUGUGUCAAAGCUUCAGGAAGAUUUGUCGUGCGUUUCUGGUUUAGAGGGCUCAGUGCGAGAUCUUACCUCUCAACUGAACGAGAAAAAUGACAGGUUACUGGAUUUGGGAAAGCAAAAUGCUGAGUUGGUGCAUUUCAGGCAG
rnacentral:lncRNA from 1 species